rnacentral:lncRNA from 1 species
AGUUAAGAUGCACUGAAGAGAGAUUUUUAUAGAACUCUUCUUGGUUUUAAAUAUUCUGAAAGAUUAUUCUGUUAUCUUCAGGCAGUCACUAAAAAUGAAGGUACUACAUCCAAAGAAUUGGAUAUUUGCGACAUGUUGAAGAACUUAAAAGAGUAAAUGUGAAAGGUGCAAAGUAUCUUUUGAAGAAUAAGAGCUUCCUCUUUCUAAAAGAAAACUAACCAAGCAAGAUCUUUUGUCAUGAUUCCACAUUAACAUAAUAUCAAGAAAGGAAGUCCGCAAGGUUGAGAAUGAGAGAAAGGGGUUUCCCAUAGACAACUGAUUUUUUGAACACAGGUUUCUCUCUGUGCUUUUGAGUGAAAAUGACAAAGCACCGAUCAUGCUACACUAAAAAAAAAACAGCUAUUUUUGCUGCUUCUCAGGUCAACAUUUACAUAGGAAAAUCUUUGAGAACCACUCAGCAUUUCUCCCUUCUGCUGAUAAUGGAAGUCCUAAGAGGCUCACAGGCCAGAGAGAGCUUCAACCAAACAUUGUUCAGAUGAAUACGACACUCAGGAAGCACAAGCAGAUGGAGGAAAGAAACACAAGAGAGGAAUAUUAUUAGGUUGGUGCUGUUCUAAUUUUCAUUCCUCCAUGGGACACCGAAGAUGAAUUUGAGGAUGAAAAAUGCAUUGAAGACAUUCAAUUCAUUCUUUUUGUGCUAAUCAGCAAGAAGUUAUGCUGGGUAAUAUCACCAGCCUUGCUGACUUUGAAGGUCAGUCACUCUUGUAUUUGGAGCAACUGCUUCAUCAUCUCCUUCUAAUGAGUAACACCUCCUUUGUAGAACAAAGGAACAAAAUGAUUCAGAGGUUCUCAUGUUUGCC